rnacentral:sRNA from 15 species
CUCGCGCUCCCCCCUUUUCCCUAAAGUCGGGGGGCUUGCUGGGGGUAACCAGCAAGCCCGUCUAUGACCAGCCCGAGCGGUAGAGCCGAAGGACAAGGCGAUGAAGCCGCUACGUUACCAACAGGUUCGAGACCCACUCCGGAGUGCUUCUCCAGCCCCGGACCCUGGA